rnacentral:lncRNA from 1 species
UGCCUCAUUGUCUGCCUAUGUUUUUUCCAUGUGCAGUUGUUUUUCUAAACAAGCCACCUCCUCAUCUUCAUUAAGAAGAAUACAUUUCUUGUAGGGGCACAAGGUUCCUGGAAAGAAAACGAGUGGUACACUGAAUGCUCUCUUCCGAGAGAUACAUCCUGGAGGAAGGAAAUAAUGAUGUCACUGGCCAAGGGCCUCAACACAGCCAGAACACCUCUCCACUGUCCCUUUCCCCCAGACCAACUCCUGUCCAUCUCUCCUCAGAAAAGAGCAGGCCUCCAAGAGACAACAAUGAAACACAGGACAACAAGAUACAAUAAAGCAAGAAUUCUGAAAGUGUAUAUGACUCCUGCAGCCAAGAAGCCUCUGGUCUCUCAGCAGUCAAAACUAGGCACAAGGUAAAUGUAUGUCUAAUUUUCAAGAUCUGGGAACAUUAGUUUACAUCAUGGAUCUGAC